rnacentral:rRNA from 1 species
GAUCAUGCUCAGGAUGAACGCUAGCUACAGGCUUAACACAUGCAAGUCGAGGGGCAGCAUUUCAGUUUGCUUGCAAACUGGAGAUGGCGACCGGCGCACGGGUGAGUAACACGUAUCCAACCUGCCGAUAACUCGGGGAUAGCCUUUCGAAAGAAAGAUUAAUACCCGAUGGUAUAAUUAGACCGCAUGGUCUAAUUAUUAAAGAAUUUCGGUUAUCGAUGGGGAUGCGUUCCAUUAGG